rnacentral:rRNA from 1 species
GUGAGGAAUAUUGGUCAAUGGGCGGGAGCCUGAACCAGCCAAGUCGCGUGAAGGAAGAAGGAUCUAUGGUUCGUAAACUUCUUUUGCAGGGGAAUAAAGUGCAGGACGUGUCCUGUUUUGUAUGUACCCUGAGAAUAAGGAUCGGCUAACUCCGUGCCAGCAGCCGCGGUAAUACGGAGGAUCCGAGCGUUAUCCGGAUUUAUUGGGUUUAAAGGGUGCGUAGGUGGUUUGAUAAGUCAGCGGUGAAAGUUUGCAGCUUAACUGUAAAAAUGCCGUGGAAACUGUCGGACUUGAGUGUAAAUGAGGUAGGCGGAAUGCGUGGUGUAGCGGUGAAAUGCAUAGAUAUCACGCAGAACUCCGAUUGCGAAGGCAGCUUACUAAGCUACAACUGACACUGAAGCACGAAAGCGUGGGGAUCAAACAGGAUUAGAAACCCCUGUAGUCC